UGAAUACGAGACGCUAAGGCGUCGAAGUAGUGUAUGUCAUACUUCCAAGAAAAGCUUGCACUGUCAUAGAUAAAAAACGCCUGUACCAUAACCGACACAGGUGGGUAGGUAGAGUAUACUAAGGGGCGCGAGAUAACUCUCUCUAAGGAACUCGGCAAAAUAACUCCGUAACUUCGGGAGAAGGAGUGCCUUAUUCGUAAGGUUGCAAUAACAAGAUCCAAGCAACUGUUUAUCAAAAACACAGGUCUCCGCUAAGUCGUAAGACGAUGUAUGGGGGCUGACGCCUGCCCAGUGCCAGAAGGUUAAAGAAGUUGGUUAGCAAUUGCGAAGCUGAUAACUGAAGCCCUGGUGAACGGCGGCCGUAACGAUAACGGUCCUAAGGUAGCGAAAUUCCUUGUCGGGUAAGUUCCGACCCGCACGAAAGGCGUAAUGAUUUGGAUACUGUCUCGGAGAGGGGCUCGGUGAAAUAGACUUGUCUGUGAAGAUGCGGACUACCUGCACCAGGACAGGAAGACCCUAUGAAGCUUUACUGUAACUUGAAAUUGAAAUUGGACUUUAUUCGCGCAGUAUAGGUGGGAGGCGUUGAUUAUAAUCUUGUGGGAUUAUUGGAGCCAUCAGUGAGAUACCACUCUUGUAAUGUUAGAUUUCUAACUUUGAAUCAUUAUCUGGUCAAAGAACAGUUUCAGGCGGGCAGUUUGACUGGGGCGGUCGCCUCCUAAACGGUAACGGAGGCGUACAAAGGUUUCCUCUGAACGGUUAGAAAUCGUAUCUAGAGUGUAAAGGCAUAAGGAAGCUUGACUGUGAGACCUACAAGUCGAGCAGGGACGAAAGUCGGUCUUAGUGAUCUGACGGUACUGAGUGGAAAGGCCGUCACUCAACGGAUAAAAGUUACUCUAAGGAUAACAGGCUGAUCUCCCCCAAGAGUUCACAUCGACGGGGAGGUUUGGCACCUCGAUGUCGGCUCAUCGCAUCCUGGGGCGGUAGUACGUCCCAAGGGUUGGGCUGUUCGCCCAUGGAAGCGGUACGCGAGCUGGGUUCAGAACGUCGUGAGACAGUUCGGUCCAUAUCCGGUGUAGGCGUUAGAAUAUUGAGAGGAGCCUUCUUUAGUACGAGAGGACCGAGAAGGACAUACCUCUGGUGUACCAGUUAUCGUGCCAACGGUAAACGCUGGGUAGCUAUGUAUGGAGUGGAUAACCGCUGAAAGCAUCUAAGUGGGAAGCCCACCUCAAGAUAAGUAUUCAC
rnacentral:rRNA from 1 species